GAUGAACGCUGGCGGCGUGCCUAAUACAUGCAAGUCGAGCGAACGGACGAGAAGCUUGCUUCUCUGAUGUUAGCGGCGGACGGGUGAGUAACACGUGGAUAACCUACCUAUAAGACUGGGAUAACUUCGGGAAACCGGAGCUAAUACCGAAUAAUAUUUUGAACCGCAUGGUUCAAAAGUGAAAGACGGUCUUGCUGUCACUUAUAGAUGGAUCCGCGCUGCAUUAGCUAGUUGGUAAGGUAACGGCUUACCAAGGCAACGAUGCAUAGCCGACCUGAGAGGGUGAUCGGCCACACUGGAACUGAGACACGGUCCAGACUCCUACGGGAGGCAGCAGUAGGGAAUCUUCCGCAAUGGGCGAAAGCCUGACGGAGCAACGCCGCGUGAGUGAUGAAGGUCUUCGGAUCGUAAAACUCUGUUAUUAGGGAAGAACAUAUGUGUAAGUAACUGUGCACAUCUUGACGGUACCUAAUCAGAAAGCCACGGCUAACUACGUG
rnacentral:rRNA from 1 species